GACGAACGCUGGCGGCGUGCUUAACACAUGCAAGUCGAACGGAAAGGCCCUGCUUGCCGGGUACUCGAGUGGCGAACGGGUGAGUAACACGUGGGUGAUCUGCCCUGCACUUCGGGAUAAGCCUGGGAAACUGGGUCUAAUACCGGAUAGGAGCCAUUUUUAGUGGGAUGGUUGGAAAGUUUUUUCGGUGUAGGAUGAGCUCGCGGCCUAUCAGCUUGUUGGUGGGGUAAUGGCCUACCAAGGCGGCGACGGGUAGCCGGCCUGAGAGGGUGGACGGCCACAUUGGGACUGAGAUACGGCCCAGACUCCUACGGGAGGCAGCAGUGGGGAAUAUUGCACAAUGGGCGCAAGCCUGAUGCAGCGACGCCGCGUGGGGGAUGACGGCCUUCGGGUUGUAAACUCCUUUCGCUAGGGACGAAGCUUUUUGUGACGGUACCUAGAUAAGAAGCACCGGCUAACUACGUG
rnacentral:rRNA from 1 species